GACGAACGCUGGCGGCGCGCUUAACACAUGCAAGUCGAGCGAGAACCAGACCUUCGGGUCUGGGGACAGCGGCGAACGGGUGAGUAACACGUGGGUAAUCAACCCUCGGUACUGGGAUAGCCCGGGGAAACCCGGAUUAAUACCGGAUGGCCCUUCGGACCUUCGGUUCUGAAGGAAAAGGUAGCUUCGGCCUCCGACCGAGGACGAGCCCGCGGCGGAUUAGCUUGUUGGUGGGGUAACGGCCUACCAAGGCGGCGAUCCGUAGCUGGUCUGAGAGGACGAUCAGCCACACUGGGACUGAGACACGGCCCAGACUUCUACGGAAGGCAGCAGUGGGGAAUCUUGCGCUAAUGCGGGAAACCGUGACGCAGCGACGCCGCGUGAGGGAAGAAGGCCUUCGGGUUGUAAACCUCUUUCAGAAGGGACGAAGCUACUCGGGUUAAUAGCCCAGAGGGUGACGGUACCUUCAGAAGAAGCCCCGGCUAACUACGUGCCAGCCGCCGCGGUAACAC
rnacentral:rRNA from 1 species